CAGAACUUCAAACUCUACACCCCACUUUUGUGUACUGGUACAGCUGCUUCUGCUGCUGGCCUUAGCGUAGGAUCAGUCCUUGUCAUCAUAUUCUUUGUAACCUUUUGCAUUAUACUGGAUCUUUGGAAUAUUAUUUAUGAAAUUUGUGCGGCGGGCACAGGGCACGGAAAUGAUUCCCAAUCUUGAAUUCUGGAAAGAACUACCGCUUGUGAUUAGGGAUGGAUUUGCCUUCACAGUCAGGGGCUGCAAAGGGGAGACAACGUAUGAAAAAAUUUAACUUUGUAAUAUUGGCAACUUGCACACUUAAUAGAGAAGAUCUCAUAUUUUUUUAUGAAAGGUUGUGUGCCUUAAAUUUGUAUAUGUGAUGUUGCUAAACAGGAAAUAUGCAUAAUGGUUAAGAGAUACCAUAAAAUGUUCGUAGACAUGAUUUUCAAGAGAGAAACUUACCUACUACAUGGGUCACUUUCUACUAGAUGGGUUACUGUCUUCGAUAUUUUUUAUGCAGCAGUAUGCUUCAUCUUAACAUUGAAAAUUGUAAAAUUUUUCACAUGUGUCCUGAUAACAUUUGCUUAUAAAGAAAAGAGCUUUUGAGUGCAGUGUAAGAGUAGAUGGGUACCGAAUUCUUGCAGUUUAAACAAGUGCCAGUUUUUUACACAUGAAAUACAUUACUUAACCGAUAUAAUUAUCCAUUUAUCCAUAAAUACAUUAAAUAUCUGGUGUUGAAUUUUCACGAAUAUUUAAUGUCCUUUUUUUUUCUGAGCAUGAUUUCCAGAUUGUUUAGAAGAGGAAAUUUGAUAGGGAAUUCCAAAUGAUUGGUAUGAAGAAUGCCAUUCUUUCUGUGUUCAUAACUGACAUGGAUGUUACUGUCAUUUGAAUGCUAUGUCUGGAGUUUUAAGUGAAGUAAGAAAUCUUUUGAAACAUUUAUGUAUGAACACUGGACUGGUAUGUAGUAUUUGGACAAGAUUAAUGGCAACUUUAUAAAAAAGUAAUAAGGUUCUUUGUAAAUGCGUAAUAAUUAAACUGCAUGAAAAUCACUUUGACAAAUAUAUUUAGUGAAAAUGUUAUACAGGAAUUUUUUUUAGCAUAUCAUUAUUCAUUAAACAUACUAUUUAUGACAAGAAAUUCAUUCAGUCAUGACAACGCUUUGAAAUGUAUUUCUUGAGGUAUUGAAAUUGUACUCUCAGGUAACAAUAUGUAAAUGGUUUACACUUUUUUGUUAUUGAUAUAACAGAAAAUAUCUACAGCAUGUACCAGUUAAACUGUUUAUUAUAUACCAUUUAAACUACUCAUGCCUUGGUUGAGCAUCAGUCUCAAACAAAAGGGUUGUUAUUUCUAGGGCAGAGUGCUGUAUAUUUUCUAGAAAAAAUGUUUUACUGUAUUUACCACAGUAUCCAUGUGCAUGGUUAUGUAAGUGUUCAUUAUACUGUAUGCUGCUGCUGCUUUUUAGUGUGUUUUGGCAUUAGAGGAGUUCUCUAUUUGGAUCAAAACAGUGUUUUGUGAGAUUUGUUUCCCAACAAAGUAUGAUUUUGAAGAAGCAAUUGAAGGAAACUUGCAGAUAUUGCUCUUCAAUAUAUUUGCAGUGAUCAUUAAGGUGCCAACAGGAAUUAUAAUCAGUGGUAUAUCCACUGAACACCACAACACUGAACUUUAGACAAUUUUAAUGUUUUACAAAUGUUCAGAAGUAUUUUUCUCAUGCCAUAGCAUUAUGGUUAUUACACUCUUCUUCAGAGCAGAAGAAGAUUCAAGGCUUUCUUGGACUAAUGAUGUGAAAACUCCCCCAUGCCUACCCAACAGCACUAGGUAACUGAUUUAUUAGGAAACAGAAGUCAGUGGAGAAUGGGCUGGCUAUGCCCUGGACUUUGUGAAUCACUUAUAGUUUACUGCCUCUGAGCCCACACGGCUAUAGAUCUGUUACAUUACUGUUAUCAUUUCUACAAAAUAUGUUUGUUUAUUUGAUAUCAUGAAUGUUGCAAAAAUGUUUUUUGUGCCAUGCACAUUAAGAUCUAAUGGAUACAUUGUCUUUCUCAAGAACUGUUGUGUUACAAACUGUUUUCUUUAUAAUUUUUUUCUUAAGUUGUAAGUUAUUACUAUUAGCCUUUCUAAGCCUUACACUUCACAUAUUUAUUCCUGAUGAUUAAUGUAGGAGUGUUUUUGAAUGUAAGUGGCUUAUUGGGUAAGGUCAAAGAUGGGAGUCGGAGGAAAUGCUUCUCUCCCUCUUGUUAGCUUUGUGUUCAUUCAUUAUGUUUAUUUUGUAUUGGUUGUGGUAUCUUUAUGGUAUGCUGCCAUUUCAUCGGAAUAUUUUAAUGUAGAUUUAAUGAUAUUGGCAACAACUGUAUGGAAAUAACAGAUAGGUAUUUCAGAUUGUAUUGACCAACUGCUGUUUAACCCAGAAUGACUUGACCAGUUAAGGCUGAGCACCAGAAAACAUUGUUUAAAACACUAGAUAAAUAAGGCUACCAUCUGAGAAGAUGAAAUUCCAAUUUUCUUUAGAACAAUGAGCUCCUUACUAAAUAUAUUUUGAAUGGGUUUUAUUACUAAUAGCUUCAUACAAGUGAUGUGAGCUAUUACUAUGUGUUUGCAUUUAUCAUUCCAAUCUUCAGAUGGUUUUUACAUGUCACACUAAUUUGAUAAGUGGUCUGAGAGAGUUGUAUAUGUUGUGCAGUUCAGUUUUCUUGUCACAUGUGAUGGUGUCAUACAGAUUGUCAUCUUAUGGCAGAAUCUUUACUGAGGCAGGUGUUCAGGACAUUUGCAAUGAGUGCAUGUUUUAUUGGGAUGCUAAGCAUUUCAGUAGAAUAUUCCUUCUCUUUAGAAUUGUAACUUUCUCUUAGAGAAGAGUGCAUUCACAGAACCUUUUACUGAGUUUUAUGUUCCCAGUUUAUCUUCAGUGCUGUGAUUUGAUCUUAUCUGUGAUUUCCGAGAACAUAGUUUCAUCAUGUUUACUCCUACAGAACACCCAAUUCUUUGGAAAUGGAUGUAACCCCCAUCUUUUUUACACCUGAUUACAACAGAAAAGUGAAGAAAAAUAUCCAUUUGUUAAGGAACUGCACAACUCUGAGUGAAUGACAGCAGAUUACCCAGUGUGUUGUGCCUGAUCACACAAUAAGGCCUGCUACAGAUCAGGUAAUCGAAAUAAUUUCUUGUGUUGAAUUCUAGAAUUGACUUUAACAAUAGACCGAUACAAGUUAGGUGACCUGUAACUGAAUAUGUACAUUAAUCAAACCAGUCUUCAUGUAUGUCUGUCCAUUUAUUGUUACCAUAGUUUGAAAAGUUCAGCCCUGUGCUCCACUGGGGGAUGAAGAAGAAGAAGAGAGUGAAAAGUUAUCUGAAAUAUCUAAUGUUAUCCUUUUAGUGACUUCAAGAGCCUUUUAAAGAAAAAUCCCUUUUUCAUCUCUUUGUAUUGAUCUGUAACCAGAUACCUAAAUUCCUCUGCAGACAUUCCAUGCUUUGCACAUUUAGAUUAAGAAAGAUCUUGUGUUAUAUUUAUCUGAUUGUGCAUGAGCAGGUCCUUGAAAAUGUCAACAUUUUCUUUACGACUUCUGAUUUUUGUGGGAAGAGCUUGUUUUGCUGUAUGCAGAAAAAGAGUUGUUUCUGUGGCACCACACAUACUUCUACAGUCUUGUUACCUUCAAUAAAAUGGAGCAUUGUACCUCUGUUA